AGCCAGCUAGCCAUUGAGCUCCUUCAGUACGAGUACGAGUGCGGUCUUCGACGUAUCCAAAAGCAAACGCGGCUCUUUUUUAAGCGCGUUUUGUAUUAUUCUACUCAUAUAAUUUAUAAUUUGCGUCGCUAUAUGAUUUCUCCUUGUUUCGUAGAACAACAAAAACAGGAAAAACCAAGAAAACAACAGCAACAAGAAGUAGUAAUCUGAAUCUGAAUCUGAAUCUGAAUCGAUAGCAGGAGCAGCAACGGCGGCAGCAGUUGUGGGCAAACUUUUUGUUUACAACAAAAACAUUUCAACAAUUCAAGCCAAGCAGCGGCCGGCGCUUGAAGGGAGAGCAGGCAGCCAGCAGAGGCAAGACAGGUGUAUACAACAACAACAACAACAGCUGAUUGAAAGGACAUAGAGCACCUGACGAGUUUCAGUGUUAGCCAAGAAAUAGCACAUUCCUUUCCAUAAACAAGUUUUGAAACGUUUUAGAAAUUUUCAACUACAUUUUUGAAAAUAUUCCAAAAAAAAUUUUCUCCAAAAAAAAAAAAAAAAAAAUUGGUUGCGCUUAACUGCAUCUCAGUUGGACUGGGAAUUUUAGCUGAAUAGCAAAAUUGCAUCAAAAAUAUUCAACCCAGCGUAAUUAUCGAGCAGAAAGCCAACAAACGUUUAUUCAAACGAAAAUUUCUUUUCUCCGAACAGCUGUUCGGCUUACUUGCCUGCAAAUCAGCUCGUUAAGGCUGCUUGAGUGUGUGAUCUACUUCGAAUGCAGAAGGAAAAAAGGAGAGAGUAAAAAUUCAAUCAUCAAGCGGAAGUGAUAUAUACACAAAUAUCAAAACAAUCAUAGAAAGGAAAGAAGAACAUAAAAGGACAAUUCGUGAAAAUUUUGCAAAAUAUUUUCCUAAAAACAGCAUUAAAAAUCGAUAUAUUUUCAUACAUGUGUAUCGAUUAUUAAAUAUUUUUUCAAAUAUUUUUCUGGAAGUCAAAUAUCUUCGGUUUGUCUUAUAUCAUUUCACGAAAUCCAAGCUUAAUAAUUGAGCAAAUGGUGAAAGCUUAAGAAAAGCGUCAGAAAAAAAGAAGAAUAAUUAAAAAUCAAUAAAAAGCGACCGAGUUUCCUAGUUGUGAAUUCAAAGUGAUUUAACUUUUUAAAAGCAGAAGAAAACGAAAAUUUAAAUAAAGAACCCUUAUUCAAAUUCAUUUACGGUAAAAGUAAAAACGCACACUAGCGAAAGCUCAAUACAAAGCUGCCAAGUGUAAGAGCUUUUCGGUGAUUUGAGCUUGCAGAAAGUAGAGUGAAAAGUCGCGAGACAUUAUCAAUGUAAAAGAUAAGCAAUUUAGUACGGUAUCAUUAAAAAAUAGAGAAAAAUUACAAUAACAAUAAGAAUAAAAAAAAAUACUACUAGUACUUCUACUACACUACUACUACUACUACUACUACUAUUACCACUACUACUGUUUAUGUCACCAAGCCGUUGUUGAGUACACUGGUGAAAAUUGGCAACAACGCACCGUAGCAAGCCAACAACACGGGCGGAGCGAACAGUGUUUGCAGUAUUAUUAUGUAACAUUUAAAUGAAUAAAAUUAAUUAAAAAAAAAAUUAAAAAUAUAAAAUUUAAUUCAAAUAAACAUUUGUAACGAUUUUUUCGGUGUUUGUGUAUGUUUGUACUUUUCAUAGCGCCUAAAAAUAUACUACUUACAUAACAUUAUUAGCAUAUUUAAACAUUUAAAGAAUUUAUUCAAAGAAAAGUACGCAACGAAAGCGUUGAAUGCCACGUAAAGUAAAUAGAUAAGUGUAGCGGUUUUUAAAAAAAAAAAACUGAAAAAUAAAACAAAAAUUAAAAAAAGGGAAAUCAUAGUAUGAAUGUCUAAGAUUUUAAAGAAAUAAAAACGGAACUGAUUUUAUAUAUACAUACAUAUGUUAUACUAGCAAAAAGACUAAAAAAAAAAAUAAAUAAAUAAAUAGAAAUACAAUAUUUUAAACACCAAACGUGUUGUAAACAAGAUUUUAGACUUUUUCCAAAAAACAUUAUACAUAAAAAGCCAAAGUGUAAAGUUUUUAAGACAAACGUACUUCCAACGACUUCAAAAGGCGACGAACAAAAGCAGCAGUGUCGCCACGGACGAAUAUUUCCGAGUAAAAGCACACUAGCACACAAAUAUCGGUUAACAUUAGCAGCUUAAAAAGGCCAAAUUUAAAACAAAAACAAAAACGAUUUUUACUAAAAAGCAAUUCACGUCAAAGCGCAUACUUUAAAGUAUUAUAAAAAAAGCCGCGAAAGUAAGAAAAGUGUGUCGCAGGCGCAAAAUAACAAAUAAAAAGUUUUGUAUAAUUUCAAAGGCUUCGAAAAUCAUUGAAAAUAGUAAUAUCCAAUAGCUGACCAUAAAACUAAGAAAAUUCACAUAACUUAUAUUUUUCAAACAUAAAACUUGCAUUCCAAGGGGUUAGCAGUGAAAAUCGGCAACGUAGCAGAAAAAAUAAAGGUGUGCCGCGUCCAUGAUAAGCGGCGAUAUUGCCAACAGUGCAAAAAUGCAAUAAUCAUUGAUAUUUUAAAGAAAAAAAAUUAAUAUCAAAGUGGGGUAAAAGCUGAACACGACACUUGUGUGCGAAAAUUGGCAGCAUCGUCGCAAAAGCUAGCGAUAUCAACUGAGCAGACACACCGGCGAGGAGAGAGAAUAACAUAAAGACCAGCUAAACGGCCAGAAAAGUGAUUUUAUAUACCAACUAUACAAAUAAAUGAACUUAUUUUCUAGUAAUAUAGCAACAAAACAAAUCAACUGAAAGACAGAGAGCGAGAGAGAGAGUAAUAUACAAAUAUCAAACGGAGUGAGAGAGCGAAGAAAUCUAAGUUUGAUUAUUUCAACGUGAGCGCAAUCGUGCAGUUGUCAAAAAGCGAGAGUCAGCCAAAUCACGAAAGAGAGACACAUCAAAGAGAUCGUGACUGACGAAGACAAGAGAAAAUAAGCGAAAAUCGAGAUCCAAAGAAUCUUGCAAAUCAACACCACCAAAGAAAA